rnacentral:rRNA from 1 species
AACAAUUUUCUUACUUAUUUUAUUUUUUUUGUUAAGAGAAUUAUCUUUUUAUUUAGUAUACUAAAGAAAAAUUUUUGUUGUUAUAGUAUAAUAGUACUGUUAAGGAAUUGUUGAAAUAAUUUAAAUAUUAUUUUAUUUAAAGUAUACUUUAAUUGUAGUACCUUUUGUAUCAGGGUUGAUCAAUUUAUUUAAUUUAUAUUUAUAUCUCGAUUUCAAAGGAGCUAAAUUAUUAUUUUAGUUAAUGUGGAAUAAUUAUUAAAAAUAUAAUUUAGAGGAGAAAUUUUAUUCGGCUUUGAAGGUAUCUAGUUUUUUAAGAAAUAAAUUUAAUUUAACUUUGAUUUUUAAUUUUUACAUUUAUUUAUAUAUUAUAAGUCAAAAUAAAUAUUAUAGGGGAUAAGCUCUAUAUUUUUCUAUAAAAUUCUUGAUUAAUAUGUUUUUGUAGGUUUAGAAUUAUCCAUCAUUAGUAAGUGUGUUAUAAUUUAUAUUUAUAAUUAAUUAAUUUUAUUUAUUUUAGUAAUUUAUUAAAAUAUCAAAAAUAAUUCAUUAUUUUGAGUAAUAAUGAUUAAAUUAGUAUAAAAUAUUGUUCAUUAUAUUAUGAAUUUCAUGAUAAAAUAAGGAACUCGGCAAAUAUAGUUCUCGCCUGUUUAUCAAAAACAUGUCCUUUUGAAUUUAAUUGAAGGUCUGACCUGCCCAGUGAUGAAUUUAACGGCCGCGGUAUACUGACCGUGCAAAGGUAGCAUAAUCAUUAGUCUUUUAAUAGAGGGCUGGAAUGAAAGGUUUAACGAGGAACUGACUGUCUCAUUUUAUUUGUUUUAAAAUUUAAUUUUUUAGUUAAAAAGCUAAAAUUUUAUUGGAAGACGAGAAGACCCUAUAGAUCUUUACAUGUAUUUAAUUAGAUAUUUUUAUAUUAAUAUUUUUAUUUAAUUUCGUGUUUUGUUGGGGUGACAAAAAUAUAUAUUUAACUUUUUUAUUUAUUUAACAUUGAUAUAUGAUUAUUAGAUCCAUUAUUAGUGAUUGCUAGAUUAAGUUACCUUAGGGAUAACAGCGUAAUCCUCCUCCAGAGUUCAUAUUUACAGGAUGGGCUUGCGACCUCGAUGUUGGAUUAAGAUAAUAAUUAGGUGUAGCCGCUUAAUUUAUAGGUCUGUUCGACCUUUAAAUNCUUACAU